rnacentral:lncRNA from 1 species
UUCAUGUAAUAUUUAUAUUUUAUUUUAUUUCAGCUUUAUUUCAGGUAUCAAAAAUGUUUUAAAUAUUUUUAGUUAAUGAUAAUAACCCUUAUGUAAAUCCAUUGAAUGAGAAUUUGGAGGUUAAAUGCACUUAAUUGCAAUGAAAAUAACUUCACACCACAAAAACUCAUACUGGCUUAUUUUUUUCUUUGUAUUAUGUAUAGAAUGUUAUUUAAUGCAUUUAUAUGUUCAUUGAGUGCUGUAUGCAUUUGAUAUAGUUGGUGAGAUUUCACUCGUGUGUGUGUGUGUGUGUGUGUGUGUGUGUGUGUGCGAGGACUCCCCUCCCUCGCCCAGUGCUGUAUGCAUUGUAUAUAGUUGGUGAGAUUCACUCGUGUGUGUGUGUGUGUGUGUGUGUGUGUGUGUGUGCAGGAUCCCUCCCUGCCCUGAAGGAAGUCAGAGGGGGAGGGUAACGCUCCCUGAUCCCUCACAAAAUGGAGUGAAGCGUCACGCCCAAACAAACAUGCCUGCUGUGGGCUGAGCAAGAGAGAGAGAGAGCAAGUGGGAGGAGAGGAAGCCCUGCCAGCACUGGAGGGAGUGGCUGGCCGAGGGAAUCACAAACUAAAAAGGCGUGUUGGGUCAGUCACACCUGACACACUGGACAAAACAAGAAGAGUGUCCCGAAUCAAAGAGAAAACCAGCAGCUACAGAGAGAGAAAACCAGAGGAGAAAUGAAGGACACGCCGAAGAAAGGAAACGGAGAGAAGAGAACUAUGGAUGUCUCAUGUUCAGCGAAUGGGAAAAAAACGUCUGGAAGCAAAAAAGAUGAUGAUGGAUCAUUUCCAGUGAAGAUUCAGGGUGCAGGUGUCGAACCCUUUGAGCUGCAGGUUCAUGGAUUCUGGCUGGUCCAGGAUGCCAUCCUGACCGUUCUGGCGAGAGAGGAGGUGGCACCGCGCACGUCUAUCGCUCUGGCCCUUUCAGGUGUGACCCUCGACCCCAUGAUGGAGCUCCAGGACGUCAAGGGCUUCAAAGCUGGAGUCACUCUCCGUCUAGUCGAAGGUAAACUGCAAGAAACAGCAUUUCUAAAAGAUUGUAUCAUAUUAAACCUAUAUUAUAUAUGGAUAUGAGGAUAUUUGGUGGGAAAUCCAGAUAAAACUAUAUGUGUUUGGACUGUGGCUGUUGGUUUUUAGCUGGUUGUCCAACCUGGCUGAGCUGGAAAACUAUCAUGGACCAUCGGCCAUGUUCCAGAAUACAGCUUGACCAAUUAGAGCUGGUAAGAACAGCAAGUUUUUAGGGUUGGACAGCCACAGUAAAAAUUGGAAACGGCAGGGAAAUGGUGGUUUUUUUCUGUUUUUUUUUUUUUAGCUGAAGAAGUCAUUGAAAGUGUAUGAUUCGUCAAAGUUUCUAUAGUGAAUAUAUAUUUUUAUAAUUCUAAAACAAUUUAUUGGCUAGAUAUUGCUCAGAUUUACAGUGCAACUUGUUCACAAGUCAUUUAUACUAGAAAUUGUCUGUUUUUUGUGUGAGUUUUAAUGAAUCAGUUGAACUGGGUCACAGACUCAUUCUUCAAUCUGUCUGCAUUUUUAUAUAUCCACUAACAGUGGUAUUUUAGUGUUAUUUAUUCUAAAAAAAAAAACUAUAAUUAUAAACCACAGAGCCGAUCCUCCCUUCACGCAGAAUACGAAGCUGCGUAGGGCCCCCGAAACACCAGGGGGCCCCCUUGCUCUCAAAGAUGAUUUAAUUUAGUUUAGUUUUUGAAUUUGGCCAGUGGUUAUGAAAACAUGACUGAUCAUUUCUUUAAAUGCGGUGUGCUGUCACCAUUUCUAUGUAAAAAAUCAGUCAAAUCAUGUAAUGUGAAUGUUGUACAGUCUUGCUCGAGACUAAAAAAAAUGAGUUGAAAGCGUACAGAGCCGCGAAAGAGAUACUGUUUCUCAAGCGCUUUCCGCCAGCGUGAUUCAAGACGGAGUGAAACACGGACAAAUGCGUUUCAUUCAUUUGUUCAUAACCACUCAUACCCCCAUAUGCUCUGUUUUGCGUAGGGCCCUGAGAAGUCUAGGAUCGGCACUGAAUAAUCAUAACAACUCUGAUCCAAUACAUCAGUACCUUUAUUCAGUGAUCAUAAACCACUGGAAAGGUCAUGGAAAUUCACUUGCUUAGAAAGUGUGGGAACCAUGUGGUUUUUGCUGGUCCAAGCUGAUCAGCCAGACCAUCCCCUCCUUCAGCUGACAGUCCAUCUUCACCAGUUCCCUCAAUCCAAAACCAGUCUGACCACUUUAAUCGAGAAUGACCAGCUGGUAUCUGGUUUGAUGCGAGUCCGAGGUGGUCUACCAACCUAACUUGGAUCAGCUAGAAACCAACCAUCAUGUUCCAAAAUGCAGCAGCACUAGUGAUAAUUUCCACAGGGAUCAGUGGGGGUUUUGCUCGACUGGUUUUGCAACUUUUUGAUUUCAUCGCAAACCAUUUGAUGAAUCUUGUCUCUCUGCUGAGUGAGUCACAUGGCACUUAUUAUAAGCAGUGUGGGAAAAUAAAUGAUAGAAUAGAAGAUGUUGUUGCUCACUGGAUAAAUCAUAGUUUUACAAGAUGAGACGCCUUGUAUAUUUUCUAAAUAUUUUUGUUAUUUUAAUUACAGAAGAAAAUUAGUAGUUUUACUUUGUUAACAGUAAUAUUUUCACUGAUCCAAUAUCUUGAUAACUAUAUAUUUUUUUAUAUUUUUCAGUUUUCUUUUUAAUUUUAGUUUGUUUUAAUAACUUUAUGUGCUUGUCAUCUGUCAUAUUUCUAUUUAACUUUAAUGUCAGCGUUAGUUUUAGUAGUUUCAGUACUUCAAGUUUUGUCACUUAGCCAAGGCAAACUUUUUCAUUUUCAUUUAGGGUUUUUAGGUUUUUUUAUCUAAUAUUUGCAUUUUAUUUCAGCUUUUGUUUAAAUUAUUGAAAAAUAUUUUUAAUAGUUUUAGUUAACAGUAACAUCACUGUUCCAGUAUCUUGAUAACUUACUGUCUUUGUGCACAAAUGUUGUCAUAAAAUACAUAAAAGUGCUUUUAUUCAGUAUUGCCUCUAAGUAAUUAAAAAUGC